rnacentral:misc_RNA from 1 species
CAUGUGCACGUCCAACCUUUUCUAUUACACACCCGUGCACCUUUUGUAGGUCCUCGAAAGAGGAUCUAUGUAUUUCAUCAUCACACCUAUCGUAUGUCUAGAAUGUCAUCGUCGACCACUGGGCGGCGAAAUAAAUAAUACAACUUUCAGCAACGGAUCUCUUGGCUCUCGCAUCGAUGAAGAACGCAGCGAAUUGCGAUAAGUAAUGUGAAUUGCAGAUUUUCAGUGAAUCAUCGAAUCUUUGAACGCACCUUGCGCUCCUUGGUAUUCCGAGGAGCAUGCCUGUUUGAGUGUCAUUAAAUUCUCAACCAUGACUUUGUUGACAUGGCUUGGAGUUGGGGGUUGCUGGCUUGUUUGUCAGCUCUCCUGAAAUACAUUAGCGGUGGACAAGCAAGGCCUUCCGACGUGAUAAUGAUCGUCGUGGGGCGGAGCAUCAACGUCUGUCUGCUUCUAAAUCCCAGAUGCCUUAGCUAGACAUCAUUUCGAACGCUUGACCUCAAAUCAGGUAGGACUACCCGCUGAACUUAAGCAUAU